UUGGACCUGAUAUCAGGCAAGAUUACCCGCUGAC
rnacentral:rRNA from 1 species